rnacentral:lncRNA from 1 species
GUCUGGAAUAAAUCCCAUUUGGGAGAAGAUAGAGUAAUACAAAAUGUCAACUGAGCUUCUAUUAUUAAUAAAUACAUGGUGCACAUUGAAAUCAGUGAUAUUUAUCCUUGCAACCACUGCAUCAUUGUGUGGGACUAGCACACCCUCUGCAUCCCGCUUGGUGAAGACAAUAGCAUCCUCGAGCUUCGACCUCUUCACCUCCGAAAGCUCUAUCGAUCCAGAUGACCCUCCAAUUAUCGUAUGGAUUUCUCCACAUAC